UUAUGGGUAACUUAAUUGAGCGGGUCUAUCCAAUGAAAAAUAUGUGUUAAUGUGAUUGCUCUAGUAGAAUGAAUUAUAACCUGCGACCAUCAUUAAGAAACCUAAAGAAUUUUACUCAGUAAAUGUUUUGAAAAGAGCUAAUAAUGGCAAGACCUAAACAUUUUUACUCUUUCAUUAUUGGAACACCCAAAAGAGCCAGUAUCCAUAGUUUGCCAUGCUACGUUGGUGUCCUCACAAUUUUUGCCCUCACUUGCCUUUAUGGCAUUGUAAUAUUGGUGGACAAUAUUCUGCCAACUCCUUUAACAGUUCUCGAUGAGGUACGUUUACAAGAGUACCAUGCU
rnacentral:lncRNA from 1 species